rnacentral:sRNA from 1 species
ACAGCUACAACCGCUCAGAACAAGUAUUUAAGUACACAUGUCGCUUGGGAUGGCGAGUCUAAGUAUAUA